rnacentral:rRNA from 1 species
AUACGGAGGAUGCGAGCGUUAUCCGGAUUUAUUGGGUUUAAAGGGUGCGUAGGCGGCCUUUUAAGUCAGCGGUGAAAGUCUGUGGCUCAACCAUAGAAUUGCCGUUGAAACUGGGGGGCUUGAGUAUGUUUGAGGCAGGCGGAAUGCGUGGUGUAGCGGUGAAAUGCUUAGAUAACACGCAGAACCCCGAUUGCGAAGGCAGCCUGCCAAGCCAUGACUGACGCUGAUGCACGAAAGCGUGGGGAUCAAACAGGAUUAGAUACCCUGGUAGUCCACGCAGUAAACGAUGAUCACUAGCUGUUUGCGAUACACUGUAAGCGGCACAGCGAAAGCGUUAAGUGAUCCACCUGGGGAGUACGCCGGCAACGGUGAAACUCAAAUGAAUUGACGGGG